rnacentral:lncRNA from 1 species
GUGACAUAGUUCAUGGUAAGCUCCUUCAUGUUGAUGGACUCCAAUGCCACAAUGAGCUAGUUGUAGGAUUCGGGAAGGCUCAUGAGUAAUGUCAAUACAAUGUCCUUAUCAUCAACUAGUUUGUCAACAAUUGCUAGUUGGUUAGCAAGUGCUUUUACCUUGUUAACAUGAGCCAUGAAGUCAUCUCCUUCUUCCAUCUUUACUGUCAAGAACUUCCUUCUUGUCCAAAGGAUGUUGGCAAGGUUUCUACUCUCAUAGAUGUUGCAAAGAGUCUCCAUGCUUCUGCUGGUCCAUUGUAAGCUAUAAUAUGUGAAAAGUUGGCAUCAUUAAGGUUUAUUGCAAUCAUCCCAAAAGCCUUUCUUUCACGAUGUUUAUUCAUAUUCUUCACUUUGAUAUCAGCAUUGUCACUUGGAGGGUCUUCACUUACAUUAACAAUGUCCCAAAGGUCCAAUGAAGCCAACAAAAGCUCCAUUUUUUUCUUCCAAUGGUAAAAGUUGUCACCCCUAAACUUCUCAAUUACUCUCAAGCUUUCACCCUCCUUUGAAGCCAUGUCUAAAUAAAGGAUGUGUGAAAGAAAAUCAACAAAACAAGAUAUAGAACUCUCAAAAUCAACAAGAAGGUGUUGCUGCCUUAAAAAUCCAGAAUGCCGUCUUUGCAAAUAAAUAAGUGAUUUCACUCUUGUAUCACUUUCCACUUCACAUAUAAGGCUUCUCACAAGUCUUACACUCUAUCUGAACCUAUUGUAUAAGCUUUGCUACUCUUUAAUCAUCCCUCUUUUCUCAUGAAAUACUUCUUAUCUUACAAAAAUUACUUCUUGUAAAAAUAGAACAAUCUCUUAAGAAGUUAAGUACAUGAAACCACAAAGUUAGAACAUCAAUGAUAAAUUUCAGCAAAGAAAUAUAAUACUAGAGUUCUAAAACAUCAUUAUAUGGAGUCUAACAUCAACAAAGACUAUGAGUACACUUAACAAUAAAUAGGAAUAAAAUUACAUCAAGAACUAGAUGCAUAAGAAGGAUUAGAAGAUAACAAACUCAAAUUUUAGCAAUAACCAUAAGAUCUACUCCUUACAACAAGAAAGACUUCAAAGUACUUUAAAACUCACAAAUA